CGAAGAGUAAUCGUUUGUUUGUUUUCCUUUCCAAUUGUCCUAUUGUUAAUGUUGGUACAUCAACAUCACCGACCUUUCAAACGAUUUCAAACGAUUAAUUUCCUAAGCGAUGUUGUCAGUCGCUCAAGUUUAGUCAGUCAAAAGGAAAUGUGAUAGAAAAAGUAAAAAUCAUUUUUCACGAAAUAACUAUGUAUAUAAGAACUAGAAAAAGAUCGGCAAACUUCAGCAAGAUUUCCGCAAAGAUUACGGACAUGUCUGGGUCAACAUGGUAUACCUGCUCAGAGUAAACUUGAUGCAAAAUUUGGAGUGAAAGAAAAUUUAACGAAAAUAGUCAUGGUAUCCAUAUGCUAUCCAUGAGAUUGUUGCAUCAUAGCCGCAUAUUAUAGCCGAAAAAGCAGCGUAUAUCAUAGCCGAAAAUUAAACGCACGAUCAUAAACGUACAUAAAAGUCAUUAUAUCAACCUCGUUAUCCAUGUAAGAAUACAAUCUCGCCCAUAUUCGUCCAUAUUUAUGAUUUCGACAUAGUUGCGAGUUUGAUUUAAUAAGUUUUUUGUAAAAAACUAAGCUGACUGAUUACAUACGACAUUUCCAUCAAAAAUAUUUUUGUUUUUGUGAAUAUUUUUACAAAGGACAUUCUCUUGUCAGAAAUUUGUUGGAAUCAAAUCUUACACGUUAGAGAUAAUUUGCUCGAAACGAUCAUGAGGAUUAGUUCAAAGCAAAUAAACACUGAAAUAGUCGGAUAUUUAUAACUCAGGACCAAUAAUAACUUUCCAUCACGAUGUACGUUACUUCGAAUACGGAAACAAUGUGAAAAAAAUUAUUGCGAUACAUACC